GUACGGCCCACNANGCGACGACGGGUAGCUGGUCUGAGAGGACUACCAGCCACACUGGAACUGAGAUACGGUCCAGACUCCUACGGGAGGCAGCAGUGGGGAAUAUUGCACAAUGGGCGAAAGCCUGAUGCAGCGACGCCGCGUGAGGGAUGAAGGCCUUCGGGUCGUAAACCUCUUUCGGCAGGGACGAAGCGAUCAGUGACGGUACCUGCAGAAGAAGCCCCGGCUAACUACGUGCCAGCAGCCGCGGUAAGACGUAGGGGGCGAGCGUUGUCCGGAUUCAUUGGGCGUAAAGCGCGCGUAGGCGGCUGCGCAAGUCGGUUGUGAAAUUCCGGGGCUCAACCCCGGAACUGCGUCCGAUACUGCGUGGCUAGAGGUAGGUAGGGGAGAUCGGAAUUCCUGNUGUAGCGGUGAAAUGCNCANAUAUCANGAGGAACACCGGUGGNNAAGGCGGAUCUCUGGNCCUUAC
rnacentral:rRNA from 1 species